rnacentral:rRNA from 1 species
CGCGGCCGAUCAUCCGGUGCUCGCACCGGUGCACUCGACCGCGCGCAGGCCAGCAUCGGUUUAGGCGGUUGGACAAAGGCCUUGGGAAUGUGGCUCCCCCCGGGGAGUGUUAUAGCCCAAGGUGCAAUGCAGCCCGCCUGGACCGAGGACCGCGCUCCGGCUAGGAUGCUGGCGUAAUGGUUGUCAGCG